CUCUCUCUCUCUCUCUCUCUCUUCCAAUACAGGUUUCCUCUCUCUCUCUCUCUCUCUCUCUCUCUUCCAAUACGGGUUUCCUUCUGCAUUCUUUUACUGAAUUAUAGGGAUUGAAAGCGAUGGGUAUUUGAUUCGAAGCAAGCGAUGUGUAUUUGAUUCGAAGCAAGCGAUCGGUAUUGGAUUCGAAGCAAGCGAUGGGUAUUGGAUUCGAAGCGAUGUUCUGGAUUUCUUCAGUACCCAUAGGCAUUUGACGAUGGGUACUGGAUCUCUGAUUUGGGCGGUUAAUGGAUAGUGAAAAUUGUACAAGCUGGCUCUAUCGAAGAACAGAUUGUACUGGCUGGCUCUAUUGAAGAACUAUAUGAUACUAUAUGGAAGAACAAAUGAGUCUCUACAAAAUAGUGGGUUUAUAACUUUGAUGAAUUACAUCUAUUUUCAAACCAUUUGUAGGAAUUUGAAAGCAUCGGUGUCAGUUCAGAAACACAACAAAAUAGUGAACAUGAUGUUCAACUAUCUGGUGUUUUGUUUUGACUCAAGUAUUGGUAUUGGACUUGGUCUAAGAAGAUAAUAGUGUUGAUGAAAG